AGGUCUGUCGCAGAUCACUCCCCUCCCCUGGAGAUGAUCGACCCCGGAACGACGGCUUCUCCCCGAGCCCCGUUCUCCAGCCCCGCCGGCCCCCCCUGCCUGCGGGGCUUUUUA
rnacentral:sRNA from 1 species